rnacentral:misc_RNA from 1 species
AAGGUGAAUAGUAAUAGAAACAGGGGUUGAGCAGAGGUAAUAGAUUUGUCUUCUGUUUAAGUGAGUUUGGUUAUCUUUUAACGCUUCUUUUUGGAUAUGUUAAAGUUCUAUAUGUGUUAAAGCUAUGGUUAAAAUUUAGUAAUUUUGUAAUGGUUGGAUUUUGAAAAAUAAAUUAUUGAAUACAGGCUGUCUGUAAUUAGAAUUUUGAAUUUUGGCUACUAAA